UUUGGUUAAGUUAGAAAGGGCGCACGGUGGAUGCCUUGACACUAGGAGUCGAUGAAGGACGGGACUAACGCCGAUAUGCUUCGGGGAGCUGUAAGUAAGCUUUGAUCCGAAGAUUUCCGAAUGGGGAAACCCACCAUACGUAAUGGUAUGGUAUCCUUAUCUGAAUACAUAGGGUAAGGAAGACAGACCCAGGGAACUGAAACAUCUAAGUACCUGGAGGAAGAGAAAGCAAAUGCGAUUUCCUGAGUAGCGGCGAGCGAAACGGAACAUAGCCCAAACCAAGAGGCUUGCCUCUUGGGGUUGUAGGACAUUCUAUACGGAGUUACAAAGGAACGAGGUAGACGAAGCGACCUGGAAAGGUCCGUCGUAGAGGGUAACAACCCCGUAGUCGAAACUUCGUUCUCUCUUGAAUGUAUCCUGAGUACGGCGGAACACGUGAAAUUCCGUCGGAAUCUGGGAGGACCAUCUCCCAAGGCUAAAUACUCCCUAGUGAUCGAUAGUGAACCAGUACCGUGAGGGAAAGGUGAAAAGCACCCCGGAAGGGGAGUGAAAGAGAUCCUGAAACCGUGUGCCUACAAAUAGUCAGAGCCCGUUAACGGGUGAUGGCGUGCCUUUUGUAGAAUGAACCGGCGAGUUACGAUCCCGUGCGAGGUUAAGCUGAAGAGGCGGAGCCGCAGCGAAAGCGAGUCUGAAUAGGGCGUUUAGUACGUGGUCGUAGACCCGAAACCAGGUGAUCUACCCAUGUCCAGGGUGAAGUUCAGGUAACACUGAAUGGAGGCCCGAACCCACGCACGUUGAAAAGUGCGGGGAUGAGGUGUGGGUAGCGGAGAAAUUCCAAUCGAACCUGGAGAUAGCUGGUUCUCCCCGAAAUAGCUUUAGGGCUAGCCUUAAGUGUAAGAGUCUUGGAGGUAGAGCACUGAUUGGACUAGGGGUCCUCAUCGGAUUACCGAAUUCAGUCAAACUCCGAAUGCCAAUGACUUAUCCUUAGGAGUCAGACUGCGAGUGAUAAGAUCCGUAGUCAAAAGGGAAACAGCCCAGACCGCCAGCUAAGGUCCCAAAGUGUGUAUUAAGUGGAAAAGGAUGUGGAGUUGCUUAGACAACUAGGAUGUUGGCUUAGAAGCAGCCACCAUUUAAAGAGUGCGUAAUAGCUCACUAGUCGAGUGACUCUGCGCCGAAAAUGUACCGGGGCUAAAUACACCACCGAAGCUGCGGAUUGAUACCGAUGGUAUCAGUGGUAGGGGAGCGUUCUAAGGACAGUGAAGUCAGACCGUAAGGACUGGUGGAGUGCUUAGAAGUGAGAAUGCCGGUAUGAGUAGCGAAAGACGGGUGAGAAUCCCGUCCACCGAAUGCCUAAGGUUUCCUGAGGAAGGCUCGUCCGCUCAGGGUUAGUCAGGACCUAAGCCGAGGCCGACAGGCGUAGGCGAUGGACAACAGGUUGAUAUUCCUGUACCACCUCUUUAUCGUUUGAGCAAUGGAGGGACGCAGAAGGAUAGAAGAAGCGUGCGAUUGGUUGUGCACGUCCAAGCAGUUAGGCUGAUAAGUAGGCAAAUCCGCUUAUCGUAAAGGCUGAGCUGUGAUGGGGAAGCUCCUUAUGGAGCGAAGUCUUUGAUUCCCCGCUGCCAAGAAAAGCUUCUAGCGAGAUAAAAGGUGCCUGUACCGCAAACCGACACAGGUAGGCGAGGAGAGAAUCCUAAGGUGUGCGAGAGAACUCUGGUUAAGGAACUCGGCAAAAUGACCCCGUAACUUCGGGAGAAGGGGUGCUUUCUUAACGGAAAGCCGCAGUGAAUAGGCCCAAGCGACUGUUUAGCAAAAACACAGCUCUCUGCGAAGCCGUAAGGCGAAGUAUAGGGGGUGACACCUGCCCGGUGCUGGAAGGUUAAGGAGAGGGGUUAGCGUAAGCGAAGCUCUGAACUGAAGCCCCAGUAAACGGCGGCCGUAACUAUAACGGUCCUAAGGUAGCGAAAUUCCUUGUCGGGUAAGUUCCGACCCGCACGAAAGGUGUAACGAUUUGGGCACUGUCUCAACCAGAGACUCGGUGAAAUUAUAGUACCUGUGAAGAUGCAGGUUACCCGCGACAGGACGGAAAGACCCCGUGGAGCUUUACUGUAGCCUGAUAUUGAAUUUUGGUACAGUUUGUACAGGAUAGGCGGGAGCCAUUGAAACCGGAGCGCUAGCUUCGGUGGAGGCGCUGGUGGGAUACCGCCCUGACUGUAUUGAAAUUCUAACCUACGGGUCUUAUCGACCCGGGAGACAGUGUCAGGUGGGCAGUUUGACUGGGGCGGUCGCCUCCUAAAGUGUAACGGAGGCGCCCAAAGGUUCCCUCAGAAUGGUUGGAAAUCAUUCGUAGAGUGCAAAGGCAUAAGGGAGCUUGACUGCGAGACCUACAAGUCGAGCAGGGACGAAAGUCGGGCUUAGUGAUCCGGUGGUUCCGCAUGGAAGGGCCAUCGCUCAACGGAUAAAAGCUACCCCGGGGAUAACAGGCUUAUCUCCCCAAGAGUCCACAUCGACGGGGAGGUUUGGCACCUCGAUGUCGGCUCAUCGCAUCCUGGGGCUGUAGUCGGUCCCAAGGGUUGGGCUGUUCGCCCAUUAAAGCGGUACGCGAGCUGGGUUCAGAACGUCGUGAGACAGUUCGGUCCCUAUCCGUCGUGGGCGUAGGAAAUUUGAGAGGAGCUGUCCUUAGUACGAGAGGACCGGGAUGGACGCACCGCUGGUGUACCAGUUGUUCUGCCAAGGGCAUAGCUGGGUAGCUAUGUGCGGAAGGGAUAAGUGCUGAAAGCAUCUAAGCAUGAAGCCCCCCUCAAGAUGAGAUUUCCCAUAGCGUAAGCUAGUAAGAUCCCUGAAAGAUGAUCAGGUUGAUAGGUUCGAGGUGGAAGCAUGGUGACAUGUGGAGCUGACGAAUACUAAUAGAUCGAGGACUUAACCAUAUAA
rnacentral:rRNA from 1 species